rnacentral:rRNA from 1 species
GGGUGACUGCGUACCUUUUGUAUAAUGGGUCAGCGACUUACAUUCAGUAGCAAGCUUAACCGAUAGGGGAGGCGUAGCGAAAGCGAGUCCGAAUAGGGCGUUCAGUUGCUGGGUGUAGACCCGAAACCAAGUGAUCUAUCCAUGGCCAGGAUGAAGGUGCCGUAACAGGUACUGGAGGUCCGAACCCACAAAUGUUGAAAAAUUUGGGGAUGAGCUGUGGAUAGGGGUGAAAGGCUAAACAAACUUGGAAAUAGCUGGUUCUCUCCGAAAACUAUUUAGGUAGUGCCUCGUAUAUCAUUCUCGGGGGUAGAGCACUGUUAUGGCUAGGGGGUUCAUAAGAACUUACCAAACCAUUGCAAACUCCGAAUACUGAGAAGUGCAAUUACGGGAGACAGUCCAUGGGUGCUAACGUCCGUGGACAAGAGGGAAACAACCCAGACCGCCAGCUAAGGUCCCAAAUGACGUGCUAAGUGGAAAACGAAGUGGGAAGGCAUAGACAGCUAGGAAGUUGGCUUAGAAGCAGCCAUCCUUUAAAGAAAGCGUAAUAGCUCACUAGUCGAGUCGUCCUGCGCGGAAGAUGUAACGGGGCUAAGCACGUAACCGAAGCUGCGGAUUCACAGUUUACUGUGAGUGGUAGGAGAGCGUUCUGUAGGCCUGCGAAGGUGUGCUGUGAGGCAUGCUGGAGGUAUCAGAAGUGCGAAUGCUGACAUGAGUAGCGAUAAAGGGUGUGAAAAGCACCCUCGCCGAAAGCCCAAGGUUUCCUGCGCAACGUUCAUCGGCGCAGGGUGAGUCGGCCCCUAAGGUGAGGCAGAGAUGCGUAGCUGAUGGGAAACAGGUUAAUAUUCCUGUACCUCUAUACAAUGCGAUGUGGGGACGGAGAAGGUUAGGUCAGCCGGGUGUUGGAUGUCCCGGUUCAAGCGUGUAGUCAGAUUCCUUAGGCAAAUCCGGGGAGUCAAUGACGAGGCGUGAUAACGAGUGCACUUGUGCGCGAAGUGAUUGAUACCAAGCUUCCAAGAAAAGCCACUAAGCUUCAGUUGUAUAAGACCGUACCGCAAACCGACACAGGUGGGCAGGAUGAGAAUUCUAAGGCGCUUGAGAGAACCCGGGAGAAGGAACUCGGCAAAUUAGCACCGUAACUUCGGGAGAAGGUGCGCCCUGGUAGUGUGUAGUAAUUUACUUAUGAAGCACGAUAGGGUUGCAGUGAAAAGGUGGCUGCGACUGUUUAAUAAAAACACAGCACUCUGCAAACACGAAAGUGGACGUAUAGGGUGUGACGCCUGCCCGGUGCUGGAAGAUUAAAUGAUGGGGUGCAAGCUCUUGAUUGAAGUCCCAGUAAACGGCGGCCGUAACUAUAACGGUCCUAAGGUAGCGAAAUUCCUUGUCGGGUAAGUUCCGACCCGCACGAAUGGCGUAACGAUGGCCACACUGUCUCCUCUCGGGACUCAGCGAAGUUGAAAUGUUUGUGAAGAUGCAAUCUACCCGCGGCUAGACGGAAAGACCCCAUGAACCUUUACUGUAGCUUUACAUUGGACUUUGACAAGAUUUGUGUAGGAUAGGUGGGAGACUAUGAAGCGGCGUCGCUAGAUGUCGUGGAGUCAACCUUGAAAUACCACCCUGAUGUUGUUGAGGUUCUAACCUAGGUCCAUAAUCUGGAUCGGGGACCGUGUAUGGUAGGCAGUUUGACUGGGGCGGUCUCCUCCCAAAGAGUAACGGAGGAGUGCGAAGGUAACCUAGGUACGGUCGGAAAUCGUACUGAUAGUGCAAUGGCAUAAGGUUGCUUGACUGCGAGACGGACAGGUCGAGCAGGUGCGAAAGCAGGUCAUAGUGAUCCGGUGGUUCUGUAUGGAAGGGCCAUCGCUCAACGGAUAAAAGGUACUCUGGGGAUAACAGGCUGAUACCGCCCAAGAGUUCAUAUCGACGGCGGUGUUUGGCACCUCGAUGUCGGCUCAUCACAUCCUGGGGCUGUAGCCGGUCCCAAGGGUAUGGCUGUUCGCCAUUUAAAGUGGUACGUGAGCUGGGUUUAAAACGUCGUGAGACAGUUUGGUCCCUAUCUGCCGUGGGCGCUGCAAGUUUGAGGGGACCUGCUCCUAGUACGAGAGGACCGGAGUGGACACACCGCUGGUGGACCAGUUAUCAUGCCAAUGGUAUCGCUGGGUAGCUAAGUGUGGAAGAGAUAAACGCUGAAAGCAUCUAAGCGUGAAACUCGCCUCAAGAUGAGACUUGCCCGAGCUUUAAGCUCGCUAAAGGGUCGUUCGAGACCAGGACGUUGAUAGGUCAGGUGUGGAAGCGCAGUAAUGCGUUAAGCUAACUGAUACUAAUUGCCCGUGAGGCUUGAUCCU